GUGAGGAAUAUUGCGCAAUGGAGGCAACUCUGACGCAGCCAUGCCGCGUGCAGGAAGAAGGCGCUACGCGUUGUAAACUGCUUUUAACCGGGAAGAAACCCCAGGACGUGUCCUGGGUUGACGGUACCGGAGGAAUAAGCACCGGCUAACUUCGUGCCAGCAGCCGAGGUAAUACGAAGGGUGCAAGCGUUAUCCGGAUUCAUUGGGUUUAAAGGGUGCGUAGGCGGAGCGUUAAGUCAGUGGUGAAAUCCUGCAGCUUAACUGUAGACUUGCCAUUGAUACUGGCGCUCUUGAGUGCGCUUGAAGUGGGCGGAAUGUGCCGUGUAGCGGUGAAAUGCUUAGAUAUGGCACAGAACACCAAUUGCGAAGGCAGCUCACUAAGGCGAUACUGACGCUGAGGCACGAAAGCGUGGGGAUCGAACAGGAUUAGAAACCCCAGUAGUCC
rnacentral:rRNA from 1 species